rnacentral:rRNA from 1 species
GACGAACGCUGGCGGCGUGCUUAACACAUGCAAGUCGAACGGAAAGGCCCAGCUUGCUGGGUGCUCGAGUGGCGAACGGGUGAGUAACACGUGGGUGAUCUGCCCCUAACUUCGGGAUAAGCUUGGGAAACUGGGUCUAAUACCGGAUAGGACAAUCGUUGAGUGUCGGUUGUGGAAAGUUUUUUCGGUUAGGGAUGAGCCCGCGGCCUAUCAGCUUGUUGGUGGGGUAAUGGCCUACCAAGGCGUCGACGGGUAGCCGGCCUGAGAGGGUGGACGGCCACAUUGGGACUGAGAUACGGCCCAGACUCCUACGGGAGGCAGCAGUGGGGAAUAUUGCACAAUGGGCGCAAGCCUGAUGCAGCGACGCCGCGUGGGGGAUGACGGCCUUCGGGUUGUAAACCUCUUUCGACAGGGACGAAGCUUUGGUGACGGUACCUGUAUAAGAAGCACCGGCUAACUACGUG